UUAGACCUAAACCCACGUGUAUGACUUUUGAUACUCUGUCUCAAUUUAGGCAAGCUAAGAUUAAUGGGAUGAUUUAAAAAAAAAUGCGUAUGACACUCAGCCUGCAAGACCCACAUGGUGCUGAGAAGCACCUCCAGGUUGCCUUGGAAGACCAGGAGGCGCUGGUAUGGUAGAGAGCACCCUCUAGUGGUGGAGGUGGAGGAAUGCCUGGCAGACAUCUUGGCCGACACCUGCGCUGACACAGCAGGGGGCUAGCAGUGGAGCUGUAUCGACCCAUGGUGCACGUCAAAGACCAGGACAUGAAGCUUUGUCCCCCCGCAUCGCCAUGUCUUCAGGCGAAGGGAUGCAGCCUCGCACGCACCUUGGUCAAACUUGGCAGGCAGAUAUUUCAUGGCUCCGGUGCCACCUACCAGGCAGGUACGUGCUGGAGGAACGGACAGUAACAGCUUUGAACAGAGAUUGGAUCCCCUUUGCACACACAGAGAUACACACCGCUGGUCAGACAGACAGGCCAGGGACAGGGAGGAGAACAGAACUGGUCAGACAGACAGGGAGGAGAACAGAACUGGUCAGACAGACAGGCCAGGGACAGGGAGGAGAACAGAGCUGGUCAGACAGACAGGCCAGGGACAUGGAGGACAGAGCUGGAGAGACAGACAGGCCAGGGACAGAGCUGGAGAGACAGAGUGUCUUAUUCUGCCAGGAGGCACAAGCGAGAAGAGCAAGAUCUAGAGAAGACUGCUCUCAUGGUGACCACUGAACUGUUUGAGUGUUUAUUCUUUUACCACUUUUGAUACCAAUCAGCUGUUAUUUUUUCCAUAAAAUUUCAAAUAGAAUUGUUGCAUGUUUACAUGGAGUGAAAUGGCCCCUAUUUUGUACAGAAACUAAAUGAUUUGACUUCAUGUUGUCAAAUGAAUCAACCUUUUUUAGUUUUCUGUACAGUUGCAUCUAAAUAUUGUUUAAAUGUUUUGUAAGAUGGUUAAGCUCCUCAUCCUGGUGUGCAACAACAUUGACCUUAUCUCAGAAGGCAAUACUUAUAGUAUUUCUAGUCAAGUGGGUGAUGUAAUCAACCAUUGUAAGCACUAGUAAACGAUGUGAGUGAAAGCAUUAAUUGAGCAACAUGUUACAGAUGCUGUGAAGUAGGACUGAGCCAGUUUGGACCUUACCAUGUAAUGUAGAGUUUGGGUCAUAAGUUCAAAGGUCUGUAUGUUUGUGUAUAUGUGUAUGUGUGUGUCACAGGAGGUUGGUGUCACCUUAAUAGGGGAGGACGGGAUCGUGGUGGUGGCUGAAGUGGUAUCAAAUCCAUCAAUACGGCCAGAAUGGUUCAUGCUGCGGGCAGUGGGUGGUCAGAUGACUUCAGGAUGAAAAUGUUUUAGUCCAGCCAGCAGAGGCUCAUGUUACACAGCCGGCUUGUGCACCUGCUUCUAACAGUGGUGGGAAAAACAAUGAUCCGAUGUGAUUGAGUUUGUGGCCAUUUAUGUGAUGAAUGAUAAAAUGAUAAAAUCCUAUAGGAGUCCAAUAAGACUGGUUCCAAAAUCAGGAUUUGUAUAUUAGUAUCUUGUAUUGGAAUCCUAUAGGAUAGAAUGGUAAAGAGUCCAAUAGGACUGGUACCAAAAUCUGAUAGGAUUGUUCUGUUGGUUUCUUGUAGAUUAAAUCCUAUAGGAUAUAAUCCCAUAGGAGUCCAAUAGGACUAGUUACAAAAUCUGAGAGGAUUUUUCUAUUGGUCAUACUGCAAAUGAACUUGCAACCUUGACUCCGUCCCAUAUUGUGGUGGUGUGUUGAAUAGGUUGAGAGAUGUGAGUAGGUAAAUAUAUGGAGAUUGCGCUCCGGUUAAAGGCCUUCCCACACUGUACGUCAGAUUCAGUCUAUUACGAUUAUUACAUGUCACACUGUGUGAUGUUACCAAAUUUAAAAUCAGAAUAUCAACUUGGCCAGAUUGGACGAUUUGCUUCAGUUCUGUCGAAAGUCUGCGAUGGCUAAAAUUGCAGAAAGGCUAUGACAUUGUUCUGGCAGUAUGAGUGUUUGGCCGAAAAUCUCCCUCCUGACAGAAUUCUCCUCCACGCACGUACUCAAUUCUUCAUUGCUGAGACUUCCUUGCUAGUUGAGAUUUCACUAGUAAUGUCUGCAGUUUUCGGGUUUGGCUGUUUGUUUCAAGUGUAUUAAUCUAAAAAUAAAUCUCUUUG